rnacentral:rRNA from 1 species
GGAAUUUUGGACAAUGGGCGCAAGCCUGAUCCAGCCAUGCCGCGUGCGGGAAGAAGGCCUUCGGGUUGUAAACCGCUUUUGUCAGGGAAGAAAAGGUUCUGGUUAAUACCUGGGACUCAUGACGGUACCUGAAGAAUAAGCACCGGCUAACUACGUGCCAGCAGCCGCGGUAAUACGUAGGGUGCAAGCGUUAAUCGGAAUUACUGGGCGUAAAGCGUGCGCAGGCGGUUAUGCAAGACAGAGGUGAAAUCCCCGGGCUCAACCUGGGAACUGCCUUUGUGACUGCAUAGCUAGAGUACGGUAGAGGGGGAUGGAAUUCCGCGUGUAGCAGUGAAAUGCGUAGAUAUGCGGAGGAACACCGAUGGCGAAGGCAAUCCCCUGGACCUGUACUGACGCUCAUGCACGAAAGCGUGGGGAGCAAACA